rnacentral:rRNA from 1 species
GAUGAACGCUGGCGGCGUGCCUAAUACAUGCAAGUCGAGCGAACGGACGAGAAGCUUGCUUCUCUGAUGUUAGCGGCGGACGGGUGAGUAACACGUGGAUAACCUACCUAUAAGACUGGGAUAACUUCGGGAAACCGGAGCUAAUACCGGAUGAUAUUUUGAACCGCAUGGUUCAAAAGUGAAAGACGGUCUUGCUGUCACUUAUAGAUGGAUCCGCGCUGCAUUAGCUAGUUGGUAAGGUAACGGCUUACCAAGGCAACGAUGCAUAGCCGACCUGAGAGGGUGAUCGGCAACACUGGAAAGGAGACACGGUCCAGCCUCCUACGGGAGGAAGAAGUAGGGAAUCUUCCGCAAGGGGCGAAAGCCUGACGGAGCAACGCCGCGUGAGUGAUGAAGGUCUUCGGAUCGUAAAACUCUGUUAUUGGGGAAAAACAUAUGUGAAAGGAACUGUGCACACCUGGAGGGUACCUAAACAAAAAGCCACGGCUAACGACG